ensembl:snRNA U2 U2 spliceosomal RNA
CCAACUUUUAAUAAAAAAUGAGUUUAAAAAAAAAAAAAAAAAAAUCUGUUCUUAUCAGUUUAAUAUCUGAUACGUCCCCUAUCUGGGGACCAUAUAUUAAAUUGAUUUUUGGAACAGGGAGAUGGAAUAGGGGCUUGCUCCGUCCACUCCACUCAUCGACCUGGUAUUGCAGUACUUCCAGAAGCGGUGCACUUUCU